GAGAGACGUACAGAACGUUUAUGUUCCAGGAAUGAGGGGACCAAUACGGACUUGAAGGCGAUCCAAAAGGCAGGGCCUCCGCUGGCGCGGAGGAACACGUCUAAGGUUUUCGCGAGAUCCCGUGACUCAAAGGGCGGAGCGUCACGUGGCGGGUGCGAGGAAGUAGCGCCGGCUGCGGGAAAGAGGGCGCUGGGAGGUGGAGCCCGCCCGGGGGAGAGCGGGAGGCCGGGCGAGAGCGGGAGGCCGGCCCCGCCCGGGACCGCCAAGUCCUGGGCGCCAGCCGCCUGGGGGCAGUGCCCGCUUAGCCCGUCCACGUCAGUUCCCCAGGCGAAGCCCAGCCUCCUCCACCUACAGGCCCUUUCAGGAACCGAGUUUCUCUGUUCAUCCUCCUGUAUCCUACCGCUCUGAAUCUGUCCUUUCACUCCCCGCCACGGCGCCCAUCCUCUCACUCAGACCCUUCCCGCCAAAGCAUCUGGCUUUGAUGACGCUCACUCUCUACCCCCCUACUCAUCACUUUCGCCCUACCACUCAGGCCCAACAGCUGUCUCUUUCUCCUCUGCUUCGGGGACAGGAUGGACGUGAACUAAGUCCCUUCCCUUCAUUUCCCAAAACCCAGAGAAGGACCUAGGACAGCUUUGGUUUCAAAGUUAUAAUACAUGGUUUAAAAGAGGAAAAGAAAAAAAGGAGAGAAAGCUCGUUACAGGUCUGAGGGAAUCUAGGGAGAGAAAAAUAGAGGGAAAGUAAGGGGAGGGAACAAGUUAGGGGAAAAUCCGGUGGCCCAAAAUCCCAGUCUCCCACCCACAGCCCAGCCCAUGGAGCAGAGUGAAGAAUUAGAUCUGUUUGUACAAGAGUUUUUUUAAAAAAUCAAAUCACAACAAAGCUGACUUGGCUUCUCUUUGAGCCUUCCAGAUCACCGUACAUCUGUCUGUCUCACUCUGGCCAGUCUUGCCUCUCCACCACAGACACUGUUUCAGCUCUCCUAGGCCUCCGUUUGUGUCCGUUUCCAUGGAGUGUGAACACGAAGUUAAAGUGAGGCUGCUACAGAGUCUGACCCAUGUGUCCAUCCAGACUCCAAGUGGAGUGUAGGGCUCCCAGGGCAGAGAGGGGUGGGAGGGGCAGCCCCUGCCCAGGCAGUCCUCACAUUGGACAGG